rnacentral:rRNA from 1 species
AAUCAACGCUGGCGGCGUGCCUAACACAUGCAAGUCGAACGCGAAAGGGGGCUUCGGUCCUGAGUAGAGUGGCGGACGGGUGAGUAACACGUGGAUGACCUGCCCUCGAGUGGGGGAUAACUCUUCGAAAGGGGAGCUAAGACCGCAUGAGCUCCUGGGGGCGACUCUGGGAGGAAAGCCUGAGGGUGCUGGAGGAGGGGUCCGCGACCGAUUAGCUGGUUGGUGGGGUAAGGGCCCACCAAGGCGACGAUCGGUAGCCGGUCUGAGAGGACGGACGGCCACACUGGAACUGAGAGACGGUCCAGACUCCUACGGGAGGCAGCAGUGGGGAAUUUUGCGCAAUGGGCGCAAGCCUGACGCAGCAACGCCGCGUGGAGGAUGAAGGUUUUCGGAUUGUAAACUCCUGUCCCGGGGGAAGAAGGCAGUGACGGUACCCUGGGAGGAAGCCCCGGCUAACUCCGUG